UCCACCGGGCAAGCUAGGUCCUCCCAUGCUCUGAGCCCUAAGGACCCUGCCCGAGGAGCUCUCGGGGAAUUGGGGGCGGUCCCCCUAUGGAGGGUGCGACAGGGAAAGCCCCGAGUCCGCCCUCCCUGGGAAUCACCCGCACGCCCCGGGGUCUAGUUUGUUCCAGCCGGGGUGGGGGUGGGGUGCGAGCCGCGGAGGGGUUGGUGGAGCCGCGCGGCAAUGUCAGGUUCACCCUCCAGCCGCUGCGGGCUCCCCCGGCCUGGCGCGCGCCUCUGGUGGACCCCAAGGUCUGCCCGAGCCCUCCCGGAGCGCCCGGCGGCUGGUUUCCAUUAGGGCAGUUCCCGGCGCCGACUUCGCUGGGGGCGGGGAAGGUGACCCCCAACUCGGAUCCCUCAGGUCCUAAAGGUAGCAGGAUUUCCAGAACUCUCCAGGGAUCUCUCCGGAGCCUAGGGAGUAAGGCAAGGAAGGGGCGUAUUUGGCGAGCCAGCCUGCCAGCUCUGCUCCAUCCAGACUCCAGAAGAAACACCCCCCACACCCGUCGUGGGAUCUCCCAGGGCCUUGGGCCAUUUAUUCCCUGAGUGGCCUAACCAGAGAAAUCCGUUCUUUUCCCUCAAAACUUGUAAAGCAGCCGGCUCCUCAGCUUCAGGAGCGUGGCCCUUCCUUAGCAGGCGUUGGGGAGGGGGUCAGUGGAGGGGCGUGAGGACUGGAUUUGGGGUGGUUGGUGCCUGUCAUCCAGCUGGAGAGAGGGAGGCUGAAAGGAGAGACGUUUUCAGGAGGUGGAGGCUUCAGAAUUUGGAUGCCUGUGAGAGGGAGAGGACCGGGAGCCUCCCUUGUGCUGAGAGGCUGGUGGCUGCUUUUGUCCCCUACAGGCUGAAGACGAUUCCUCUCUGGCGCCUGUGAACCUCAGGGCGCCAUGGUACAUCCUGAAGUGAAGACUGCGGUGUGGCCUCCAGGAUGGAAGCCUUCCCAGUCCUGUAGCCACCUGCAGACUCUCACAAGCACUGUGUUCCCAGAAAAAAAGCUUCUACCCCAGGCUCAGCGGAUCUGGGAGAAAGCAGGAAGCCCUGAAGGUUUUUCACCCUGGGGGUGAGCUUGCAUAAUUGAAGAUAUAUUUGAGGAAAAUUGUACAGAUAGUCCCAACUUAGCACUGUUUCACUUUAUGAUGGUGUGGAAGUGAUAGCAUUCAGUAGAAAUUGUACUUUGAGUGCCAAUACAAUCACUAUUUCUCACCUUCAGUGCAGUAUUCAAUAAAUUACAUGAGAUAGUCAACACUUUCCUAUAAAAUACACUUUGUGUAAGAUGAUUCUGCCCAAAUGUAAGGCUAAUGCAAGUACUCUGAGCACAUUUAAGGGAAGGCUGGGCUAAGCGAUGAUAUUCCAUAAGUUAGGCACAUUUAAUGUAUUUUAAACAUAGGAUAUUCUCAACUUGCAAGGGUUUAUCAGAACGUGACAUCAUUAGUCACUCAAGGACCAUCUGUGCUACUAAUGACAUAGAUGCUGGCUGGAGGAAAGCAGGCAAUAGCCAGGGGACACAGCAGGGAAGAAGUGACGUUUUUAAAGACAGAGACCAGUUUUAAAUAUUGCUAAGAAAGACCUUGUAGAGAGAAGCUGGUGAUACUGGAGACAGCAUGCAACAAAGAGCCCCGAAGAACAAGGAGAGCAUAGAGUCUCCUCUUCUGGGAGCAGAAGGAGUGUCGACUUAAAUAGGGAGGAAAGAUGAACCUUGCAGACAACCUGCAAAACCCAGUCUCAGAAAUACCCGCCUGCACCUAAAACCUUAGUCACUGAGAGUCUGAAAGAGCAAUGAUUAUGUGAAAUCUUGGUAGUGGGUACAUGUGGUUUCAUUAGAUUAUUCUUUGUAUCUAUAUUUCUACUAUCUUAAAAUAAACACUAUAAGUUUUAAAACUA